UGAUUGGUUCCGAUUGGAAGGAUAGUGGGUAGACCUCAAGACAGCUUGCAUUGAGGUCUAGCCGCUAUCCUUCCAUCGGAGCCAAUCG
rnacentral:pre_miRNA from 1 species